rnacentral:rRNA from 1 species
GACGAACGCUGGCGGCGUGCUUAACACAUGCAAGUCGAACGGAAAGGCCCUGCUUUUGUGGGGUGCUCAAAUGGCGAAAGGGUGAGUAACACGUGAGUAACCUGCCCUUGACUUUGGGAUAACUUCAGGAAACUGGGGCUAAUACCGGAUAGGCGCUCCUGCUGCAUGGUGGGGGUUGGAAAGUUUCGGCGGUUGGGGAUGGACUCGCGGCUGAUCAGCUUGUUGGUGGGGUAGUGGCUUACCAAGGCAUUGACGGGUAGCCGGCCUGAGAGGGUGACCGGCCACAUUGGGACUGAGAUGCGGCCCAGACUCCUACGGGAGGCAGCAGUGGGGAAUAUUGCACAAUGGGCGGAAGCCUGAUGCAGCAACGCCGCGUGCGGGAUGACGGCCAUCGGUUUGUAAACCGCUUUCGCCUGUGACGAAGAGUGAGUGACGGUAAUGGGUAAAGAAGCACCGGCUAACUACGUG